rnacentral:rRNA from 1 species
CGAGUGGCGAACGGGUGAGUAACACGUGGGUGAUCUGCCCUGCACUCUGGGAUAAGCCUGGGAAACUGGGUCUAAUACCGGAUAGGACCAUGCUUUAGUGUGUGUGGUGGAAAGUUUUUUCGGUGUAGGAUGAGCCCGCGGCCUAUCAGCUUGUUGGUGGGGUAAUGGCCUACCAAGGCGGCGACGGGUAGCCGGACUGAGAGGUUGGUCGGCCACAUUGGGACUGAGAUACGGCCCAGACUCCUACGGGAGGCAGCAGUGGGGAAUAUUGCACAAUGGGCGCAAGCCUGAUGCAGCGACGCCGCGUGGGGGAUGACGGCCUUCGGGUUGUAAACUCCUUUCGCCAGGGACGAAGCGUUUUGUGACGGUACCUGGAGAAGAAGCACCGGCUAACUACGUGCCAGCAGCCGCGGUAAUACGUAGGGUGUAAGCGUUGUCCGGAAUUACUGGGCGUAAAGAGCUCGUAGGUGGUUUGUCACGUCGUCUGUGAAAUUCCACAGCUUAACUGUGGGCGUGCAGGCGAUACGGGUUGACUUGAGUACUGUAGGGGUAACUGGAAUUCCUGGUGUAGCGGUGAAAUGCGCAGAUAUCAGGAGGAACACCGAUGGCGAAGGCAGGUUACUGGGCAGUUACUGACGCUGAGGAGCGAAAGCAUGGGUAGCAAACAGGAUUAGAUACCCUGGUAGUCCAUGCCGUAAACGGUGGGCGCUAGGUGUAGGACCUUUUGGGGUUUCUGUGCCGUAGCUAACGCAUUAAGCGCCCCGCCUGGGGAGUACGCCGCAAGGCUA